ensembl:lncRNA
UGCCAACAGUAUAGCAAUUGAGGAGGAACAGCCAAAGCCAGGCUUGAACCAGGAACCCGGUAGUUAUAUGGUCAAGCACCUCCUGAUGUAAUCAACACUCCCCACACAAGGUCUGGUAGGGCCAUCCGAAGACCUAUUAACCUGAAAGACUGUGUGAAGUGGAAGAAGUGGAUGGAAGAUUCUCAGGACACAGUACACCUAGGCCAGGAAGGAGGCACCCUCAGGUAGUGCUGGUGGAAGGGCUAUAGGAAGACACAUCUCCAUCCUUCAGCACUUUCUGGAGCCCCAUACUGCAUAAUGGAUGAGGCCCAUCCAGCAACAGGCGGUACAGCCUGCAUUUCCCCCCUCAUAUGAAGCCAAACACCAGUCAGCAAAACCACAAUAACUCGUGGGUUGGGAUGGCUCCUUGUACAAGCACCCGAAGGCACAAUGACGAGGAGGAAGAUUAGUUUGGGAAGGUAGAGGACCAUGACUCUCUCAGCACCAUUUAGAAGGCCCUGGAUAAAUUCUGCCAUGCUGAUGAGGAUGGUUCCUUUUGGCUGAUCCCUGGAGUGAAGAACACAAAGCCUUUUACCAACAGCUGGUGGAUGAGAUUGGGGCACACUGCCAGAUGAUGCACCAACAACAGUAGCUAGUGAACCAGCAGCUGCCCCUAUCUCCAUGUAAUGAAAUCACCAUCAAUAUUGCACAGACCAUUUUGUUUUCUUCAUCUUAUUGCAUGUUUAUAUACACGUUCCCUUUGUUUCAUUACAAGGGGUUAUGCUUUUUUUUCAUUAUUUG